rnacentral:rRNA from 1 species
UACGAAGGGGGCUAGCGUUGUUCGGAAUUAUUGGGCGUAAAGCGCACGUAGGCGGAUCGAUCAGUCAGGGGUGAAAUCCCAGGGCUCAACCCUGGAACUGCCUUUGAUACUGUCGAUCUGGAGUAUGGAAGAGGUGAGUGGAAUUCCGAGUGUAGAGGUGAAAUUCGUAGAUAUUCGCAAGAACACCAGUGGCGAAGGCGGCUCACUGGCCCGGUACUGACGCUGAGAUGCGAAAGCGUGGGGAGCAAACAGG